CUCGCGCACCCGCUCCCGCUCCAAGUCGGCGGACAGGGAUCGCCGGCACAAAGACCGCGACCGGGACAGGAGCAAGAAGGACCGCGACCGGGACAAAGAUGGGCACCGGCGGGAUAAGGACAGGAAGCGAUCUAGCUUGUCCCCAAGCAGGGGCAAGGAUUCGAAGUCCCGGAAGGAUCGGGACUCACGGAAGGUGGAGGAGGAAGAUGAGAACGCGCUAAAGAAGG